UAAUAGCGUAUACUUAAGUUGUUGCAGUUAAAAAGCUCGUAGUCGGAUGUCGGGCUUGGGCAGGCUGUCGGCUUUUGUCGGACGGCAGGCUCGGGCCUUUCUGCCUGGGGACCGCGUCACACUUCACUGUGGGGCGUCGGGACGCAGGCCGUUUACUUUGAAAAAAUUAGAGUGUUCAAAGCAGGCAUCGCCGUUGAAUACAUUAGCAUGGAAUAAUAAGAUAAGACUUUGGUGGUCUAUUUUGUUGGUUUGCACGCCAAAGUAAUGAUUAAUAGGGAUAGUUGGGGGUAUUCGUAUUCUAUUGCUAGAGGUGAAAUUCUUAAAUUUAUGGAAGACGAACUACUGCGAAAGCAUUUACCAAGGAUGUUUUCAUUAA
rnacentral:rRNA from 1 species